rnacentral:rRNA from 1 species
UUGUUCGGAAUUACUGGGCGUAAAGGGCUCGUAGGCGGCCAACUAAGUCGGAUGUGAAAUCCCCAGGCUUAACCUGGGAACUGCAUCCGAUACUGGAUGGCUUGAAUCCGGGAGAGGGAUGCAGAAUUCCAGGUGUAGCGGUGAAAUGCGUAGAUAUCUGGAGGAAUACCGGUGGCGAAGGCGGCAUCCUGGACCGGCAUUGACGCUGAGGAGCGAAAGCUAGGGGAGCAAACGGG